rnacentral:rRNA from 1 species
UACGGAGGGGGCAAGCGUUGUUCGGAAUUACUGGGCGUAAAGGGCGCGCAGGCGGCUGCUCAAGUCAGGCGUGAAAGGCCUGGGCUCAACCCGGGAAUUGCGCUUGAGACUGGGCUGGCUUGAGUGCGGGAGAGGAUGGUGGAAUUCCCAGUGUAGAGGUGGAAUUCGUAGAUAUUGGGAAGAACACCGGUGGCGAAGGCGGCCAUCUGGACCGCAACUGACGCUGAGGCGCGAAAGCGUGGGGAGCAAACAGG